rnacentral:rRNA from 1 species
UAGGGAAUCUUCGGCAAUGGGGGCAACCCUGACCGAGCAACGCCGCGUGAGUGAAGAAGGUUUUCGGAUCGUAAAGCUCUGUUGUAAGAGAAGAACGUGUGUGAGAGUGGAAAGUUCACACAGUGACGGUAACUUACCAGAAAGGGACGGCUAACUACGUGCCAGCAGCCGCGGUAAUACGUAGGUCCCGAGCGUUGUCCGGAUUUAUUGGGCGUAAAGCGAGCGCUGGCGGUUUAAUAAGUCUGAAGUUAAAGGCAGUGGCUUAACCAUUGUUCGCUUUGGAAACUGUUAAACUUGAGUGCAGAAGGGGAGAGUGGAAUUCCAUGUGUAGCGGUGAAAUGCGUAGAUAUAUGGAGGAACACCGGUGGCGAAAGCGGCUCUCUGGUCUGUAACUGACGCUGAGGCUCGAAAGCGUGGGGAGCAAACAGG